AACGAACGCUGGCGGCAGGCCUAACACAUGCAAGUCGAGCGGGACCUUCGGGUCUAGCGGCGGACGGGUUAGUAACGCGUGGGAACGUGCCCAAAGGUACGGAAUAGCCUCGGGAAACUGAGAGUAAUACCGUAUGUGCCCCUCGGGGGAAAGAUUUAUCGCCUUUGGAUCGGCCCGCGUUGGAUUAGGUAGUUGGUGGGGUAAUGGCCUACCAAGCCGACGAUCCAUAGCUGGUUUGAGAGGAUGAUCAGCAACACUGGGACUGAGACACGGCCCAGACUCCUACGGGAGGCAGCAGUGGGGAAUCUUAGACAAUGGGGGAAACCCUGAUCUAGCCAUGCCGCGUGAGCGAUGAAGGCCUUAGGGUUGUAAAGCUCUUUCAGAUGGGAAGAUAAUGACGGUACCAUCAGAAGAAGCCCCCGGCUAACUCCGUGCCAGCAGCCGCGGUAAAGUCUGUACU
rnacentral:rRNA from 1 species